CCUAAGGAAAGCCAGUCCUGACUCCAGACGUUAUCCAUUAGAAGAUUCGGCAGAAAAGCUAUACUCUCUGCUCUCUUGUCUCUAGGCUUAAGAGAACCGAACCUUUUGAGGGCCUUGAGUAAAGUUGCUUCAGGGAUCCAGAAAUGAGUCACAAAGAAGAAAAAUUGAAAAUAAUCUCAGAGGAGUUUAUUGAAAAUGAAGAUGAGGAGGCAGA
rnacentral:lncRNA from 1 species